rnacentral:lncRNA from 1 species
AUGCAUUGUAUGUGCACAAAGAUCAUUGUAUGUAUCAGUCUAGCUAGGUUGAAUAAUGAGGAAAAAGUAACAGAAAGUGAGAUAGCUCUUGGUAUAGGAAUGCAUCAGGGAUUUGAUGUAUGUGCUCUUGCUACUAGUGUCUACCAACUUCCAUGUCACUGCAUUUUCAAUGCUGCUGGCACCCUUCCUUGGUCCAGCCAAGAGGUUUUGAGCCUCUGGACUGCUGAUUCUCUGUGCUGUGAGCUGCCCCUCAGAGAUGCCCACCUCUCUCUGCUGAUCAUGGAGGGAGCUGAGCACCCUGACUUCAGGUCGAGCCCACCUCAAGCACCAAAGGUGGGUGAUGUGAGUUCCCCCUUCCCACGUGCAGACCUGCCUACGCCUUGUGGCUUGCACAGCUCCUGCCUACGGAUGGCAGCCUGGCCGGACAUGUGUUCGUGUUUUAACAAGAUGGGGGAAACCUUUGAACAAAUUGCCAGCAAACUUUUUGCAGGGCAAGCGUGGGAGAAGGCUGCCUGCACGAAGUGACCCUCUUGCCGGCAGAGAGGGAGAGACAAAGUGCAGCACAAAGAACGAGCAAAUGAAAGAGCUGGCUUGCAACUCUGAUCCUUACGGACUUUUCUUGAGCUCUCGCAACAAAAAGUGUAACUCUUGUGAUGAAUACAGUCCUACUGUUGUAUUCCUCUGUUCCAACAAUAAUUUCAAUUGAACCCUACUGCAUGUGGAGUCCCUUUGCUUUUUAGGUCAUAAAAGCAAUAUGUGGAGUAGAGACUUAAAAAAUGGACUUUUAAAAGACUCCAAUGCCUCAAUCUCUCCAAGAACUCAACUGAUAAAUCUCCUGUGUAAAAUGAUCACAUUUUAUAGAGAAGAAUCUUUGUUAGACAUUCAUUAGCAAUAACAUGUGAGCCAAUUUAAGGAAUGAAACCUUUCUUCUAUAUAAAACCCACUGUGGUCACUAAAACUAAUGACUUUUUCGGCCUACCACCCUUUAAUUCAGUAGCAAAGCACGUGAAUUUCCCGUAUUGCUUAGUUCUCCAACAAUUUGUUUAUCUUUGAAGAGCAGGUCCCUGACUGUGUGAACUCAGGCACAUCCAAAAGGUUAAGUAAGAAUAAAAAAGUAGAUCAGGGCCA